rnacentral:rRNA from 1 species
GAUUAAGUUAUUAAGGGCGCACGGUGGAUGCCUUGGCACUAGAAGCCGAUGAAGGACGUUACUAACGACGAUAUGCUUUGGGGAGCUGUAAGUAAGCUUUGAUCCAGAGAUUUCCGAAUGGGGAAACCCAGCAUGAGUUAUGUCAUGUUAUCGAUAUGUGAAUACAUAGCAUAUCAGAAGGCACACCCGGAGAACUGAAACAUCUUAGUACCCGGAGGAAGAGAAAGAAAAUUCGAUUCCCUUAGUAGCGGCGAGCGAAACGGGAAGAGCCCAAACCAACAAGCUUGCUUGUUGGGGUUGUAGGACACUCUAUACGGAGUUACAAAGGACGACAUUAGACGAAUCAUCUGGAAAGAUGAAUCAAAGAAGGUAAUAAUCCUGUAGUCGAAAAUGUUGUCUCUCUUGAGUGGAUCCUGAGUACGACGGAGCACGUGAAAUUCCGUCGGAAUCUGGGAGGACCAUCUCCUAAGGCUAAAUACUCUCUAGUGACCGAUAGUGAACCAGUACCGUGAGGGAAAGGUGAAAAGCACCCCGGAAGGGGAGUGAAAUAGAACCUGAAACCGUGUGCUUACAAGUAGUCAGAGCCCGUUAAUGGGUGAUGGCGUGCCUUUUGUAGAAUGAACCGGCGAGUUACGAUUUGAUGCAAGGUUAAGCAGUAAAUGUGGAGCCGUAGCGAAAGCGAGUCUGAAUAGGGCGUUUAGUAUUUGGUCGUAGACCCGAAACCAGGUGAUCUACCCUUGGUCAGGUUGAAGUUCAGGUAACACUGAAUGGAGGACCGAACCGACUUACGUUGAAAAGUGAGCGGAUGAACUGAGGGUAGCGGAGAAAUUCCAAUCGAACCUGGAGAUAGCUGGUUCUCUCCGAAAUAGCUUUAGGGCUAGCCUCAAGUGAUGAUUAUUGGAGGUAGAGCACUGUUUGGACGAGGGGCCCCUCUCGGGUUACCGAAUUCAGACAAACUCCGAAUGCCAAUUAAUUUAACUUGGGAGUCAGAACAUGGGUGAUAAGGUCCGUGUUCGAAAGGGAAACAGCCCAGACCACCAGCUAAGGUCCCAAAAUAUAUGUUAAGUGGAAAAGGAUGUGGCGUUGCCCAGACAACUAGGAUGUUGGCUUAGAAGCAGCCAUCAUUUAAAGAGUGCGUAAUAGCUCACUAGUCGAGUGACACUGCGCCGAAAAUGUACCGGGGCUAAACAUAUUACCGAAGCUGUGGAUUGUCCUUUGGACAAUGGUAGGAGAGCGUUCUAAGGGCGUUGAAGCAUGAUCGUAAGGACAUGUGGAGCGCUUAGAAGUGAGAAUGCCGGUGUGAGUAGCGAAAGACGGGUGAGAAUCCCGUCCACCGAUUGACUAAGGUUUCCAGAGGAAGGCUCGUCCGCUCUGGGUUAGUCGGGUCCUAAGCUGAGGCCGACAGGCGUAGGCGAUGGAUAACAGGUUGAUAUUCCUGUACCACCUAUAAUCGUUUUAAUCGAUGGGGGGACGCAGUAGGAUAGGCGAAGCGUGCGAUUGGAUUGCACGUCUAAGCAGUAAGGCUGAGUAUUAGGCAAAUCCGGUACUCGUUAAGGCUGAGCUGUGAUGGGGAGAAGACAUUGAGUCUUCGAGUCGUUGAUUUCACACUGCCGAGAAAAGCCUCUAGAUAGAAAAUAGGUGCCCGUACCGCAAACCGACACAGGUAGUCAAGAUGAGAAUUCUAAGGUGAGCGAGCGAACUCUCGUUAAGGAACUCGGCAAAAUGACCCCGUAACUUCGGGAGAAGGGGUGCUCUUUAGGGUUAACGCCCAGAAGAGCCGCAGUGAAUAGGCCCAAGCGACUGUUUAUCAAAAACACAGGUCUCUGCUAAACCGUAAGGUGAUGUAUAGGGGCUGACGCCUGCCCGGUGCUGGAAGGUUAAGAGGAGUGGUUAGCUUCUGCGAAGCUACGAAUCGAAGCCCCAGUAAACGGCGGCCGUAACUAUAACGGUCCUAAGGUAGCGAAAUUCCUUGUCGGGUAAGUUCCGACCCGCACGAAAGGCGUAACGAUUUGGGCACUGUCUCAACGAGAGACUCGGUGAAAUCAUAGUACCUGUGAAGAUGCAGGUUACCCGCGACAGGACGGAAAGACCCCGUGGAGCUUUACUGUAGCCUGAUAUUGAAAUUCGGCACAGCUUGUACAGGAUAGGUAGGAGCCUUUGAAACGUGAGCGCUAGCUUACGUGGAGGCGCUGGUGGGAUACUACCCUAGCUGUGUUGGCUUUCUAACCCGCACCACUUAUCGUGGUGGGAGACAGUGUCAGGCGGGCAGUUUGACUGGGGCGGUCGCCUCCUAAAAGGUAACGGAGGCGCUCAAAGGUUCCCUCAGAAUGGUUGGAAAUCAUUCAUAGAGUGUAAAGGCAUAAGGGAGCUUGACUGCGAGACCUACAAGUCGAGCAGGGUCGAAAGACGGACUUAGUGAUCCGGUGGUUCCGCAUGGAAGGGCCAUCGCUCAACGGAUAAAAGCUACCCCGGGGAUAACAGGCUUAUCUCCCCCAAGAGUUCACAUCGACGGGGAGGUUUGGCACCUCGAUGUCGGCUCAUCGCAUCCUGGGGCUGUAGUCGGUCCCAAGGGUUGGGCUGUUCGCCCAUUAAAGCGGUACGCGAGCUGGGUUCAGAACGUCGUGAGACAGUUCGGUCCCUAUCCGUCGUGGGCGUAGGAAAUUUGAGAGGAGCUGUCCUUAGUACGAGAGGACCGGGAUGGACAUACCUCUGGUGUACCAGUUGUCGUGCCAACGGCAUAGCUGGGUAGCUAUGUGUGGACGGGAUAAGUGCUGAAAGCAUCUAAGCAUGAAGCCCCCCUCAAGAUGAGAUUUCCCAACUUCGGUUAUAAGAUCCCUCAAAGAUGAUGAGGUUAAUAGGUUCGAGGUGGAAGCAUGGUGACAUGUGGAG